GAUGAACGCUGGCGGCGUGCCUAAUACAUGCAAGUCGAGCGAACAGACGAGGAGCUUGCUCCUCUGACGUUAGCGGCGGAUGGGUGAGUAACACGUGGAUAACCUACCUAUAAGACUGGGAUAACUUCGGGAAGCCGGAGCUAAUACCGGAUAAUAUAUUGAACCGCAUGGUUCAAUAGUGAAAGACGGUUUUGCUGUCACUUAUAGAUGGAUCCGCGCCGCAUUAGCUAGUUGGUAAGGUAACGGCUUACCAAGGCAACGAUGCGUAGCCGACCUGAGAGGGUGAUCGGCCACACUGGAACUGAGACACGGUCCAGACUCCUACGGGAGGCAGCAGUAGGGAAUCUUCCGCAAUGGGCGAAAGCCUGACGGAGCAACGCCGCGUGAGUGAUGAAGGUCUUCGGAUCGUAAAACUCUGUUAUUAGGGAAGAACAAAUGUGUAAGUAACUAUGCACGUCUUGACGGUACCUAAUCAGAAAGCCACGGCUAACUACGUG
rnacentral:rRNA from 1 species